rnacentral:lncRNA from 1 species
UUGUCCUAUUGGAAGAGUCAGCGGCUGUCUUUCCCCAUUACUUCUCUCUACCUGCUCCAGCUUAUAUUUCAGUAAAACAACCUCUUCCCUCACUACUGCAAGCUCCAAUGCCGAGGCAUUUGGAGUGGGGUUGGCGAAGCUGGCCAAGUAGUGUUCCACCUGUGCAAAAAUUUGCAAACAAGCAUCAAAAUACUGCACCUUAUCAGAGAUCAAUAGGAAGAUCAAAAAAUUCCUUACAUGUGC